GCGCCGCUGCCGCCGUCAUGCCUCAGCGCGUCUUCCUUCGCCGCGCCGCCGUGCACGUGGCGGUGGGUGUCGUACUCCUGGCAGGGCUUCUGGGGCUUAUGGCGCGUACGGAACGUGCCGUGCUUGGGCAAGUCAUGGAGAUGCGGCGGCGGCGGCGGUCGCAUGGGAAGAGGGAACCCGGCGGCGGCGGCGGCGGCGGUGGUGGUGGGGGCGGUGGGGGCGAAGGAAAGGAGGAGCAGGGGGUUGGCGGCGGUGGUGGCGUGGGCAAGGGAGGCAAGGACGAGUGAAGAGGAGUUGAUGUAAGGAAGAUUACAGGCAGUAUGUGUGGUGUGGGGGAAGGAAGGUGAAAAUUGCCUGUAGGUCAGGAUCAGAAGGCGCAAAGAAAAGGAAGAUUUUCCUGCUACGGCAUGUACGACGUAAAUGAUGGAUGAUACGAUGUAAAUUCUACGAAAGGUAGGUAGGUAGGUAGGUAGGUAGGAUGGAAGGAGGGAGGGAGGAAGGGAGGGAGGGACGUAGGUCAGGAGAAAAGGGAAAAGGAGAGAUGGAUACGCACGGUGUCUUUUGUUAUUUCGGCCCGGUUGACGUCUGCUGACGGUGCGCGUGUGCUUUCCCUGCACGUGGAGAAGUGGGCUGGCGAUUUUGAAAUUUCCUUUUCCUGAAAAUUGAGAUGUAUUAUGGAAUGCGCAAGGCUAUUCUAGGCGGUUGGGUAACGGUUGGAAGCUCAUUUGCCAGACCGUGUGAUGGAUCUACAUAUAGACAUGACGGACAGACGUACACAAUGUCAGACGAGCGGAAGGACAACGGGAGGACGUGAAUGUGGAAAAACAUGGGCCGGAUUCUCGAGGGGGUAAGAUCCUUCGCUGAAAUAU
rnacentral:lncRNA from 1 species